CUCGACCCGGCUCGCCUGCUUUCUAUUUUGUCUCCCACCUCCACCUCCGCCUCGCGAGAUCUCCAACUCCAAUGGCGCCGGCCUCCUAAACCUAGCCCCUACCAACAACCCAGUUGCGCCGGCGACGACGACCAGCGCGGCGGCCAUGUCUACGGAUCGAGAGAAGGAGCGGGAGGCGGAGCUGGAGGGCGCCAUGUACACCAACUGCCUACUCCUCGGCCUUGAUCCCGCCGUCCUGGGCUCUCCCGCCGCCGCUGCCUCCCCUCGCGUCGGCCUCUUCCGCCACUCCAACCCUCGCCUCGGCGAGCAGCUCCUCUACUUCCUCCUAUCAUCCCUACGCGGCCCCGCACAGUCCGCCAAGGACUUCGACAAGGUGUGGCCGAUCUUUGAUUCCGCGCAGUCCAGGGAGUUCCGCAAGAUCGUUCAAGGUAUUAUUAGCGAGCUGGAGCAGCAGGGAGCGCUGCCAAGGAGCAACUCCAGAGUUUCGUCACUUGCCACCUGCUGCGGGCCGAGAUUUGUUGAGCUUUUAUGGCAACUCUCUGUACAUGCCUUGAGGGAGGUCCACAGGAGAACAUUUGCGGCUGAUGUAGCAUCAAAUCCUUUGCCAGCUGCACUCACAGAUGUUUCUUAUCUUCACGCAGCUGCAUUACUGCCUGUAACGAAGGCAAGGAUAGCUCUUGAGAGGCGUAAAUUUCUAAAAAAUGCAAAUAUUGCUGUUCAAAGGCAAACAACCUGGUCAAAUUUAGCCCAUGAAAUGACAGCUGAAUUCCGAAGUCUAUGUGCUGAAGAGGCAUAUCUGCAACAGGAGUUAGAGAAGCUGCAAGAUAUGAGAAACAAAGCUAAGCUGGAGGGUGAAUUGUGGGAUGAACGUAUCUCGACCUCGUCUGGACAAAAUUCACAUUUGGUAUCUAAGGCAACCCGUUUGUGGGAAUCAAUAUUGGCUCGUAAAGGCCAGCAUGAGGUCUUAGCUUCCGGGCCAAUUGAAGAUCUUAUAGCACAUCGUGAGCAUAGGUACCGUAUAUCUGGAUCACAAUUGCUAGCAGCAAUGGAUACAAGUUCAAGUGUUCCACAUUCAGAAUUACUAUCAGCUCGAGCUGGUGAAUCUCAAAUGUUGGACAAGCAGGAGCAGAUAUCUCUAUUCCAGGGAAAGGAAGAAGCCCUUUCAAGAUUAGAUGAUAGAAAUGGGCGUACCCAACAAACUGUUGAUGUAGCUGAAAUUCUUCGACGUUGGACUCACGCUUUGCAGCGUAUUCAUAAACAGUCCCUUCAUUUGGCCAAAGCAAAUGAUGGGGAGGGGCCAGAAUUACUCCGCAGUGCGUCUGACGGUGAAGCUAGUACCCAUGCCGACUCAUUAACUGCAACACUGGCUGAACAUCGCCAGCAUUUAGUCAGUAUACAGGGCCUAAUUAAUCAACUAAAGGAAGCUAUUCCAGCAAUGCAGCAGUCAAUUACUGAUCUUUCAGAGGAAGUGAAUAGUGUACCUAGUAAUCCAGUGGAUCAAACAAACUCCAGACAAUUGUUGUCUGGGCAAAAUACAGUGUUUGUAAGACCAGAAGAAAGCAGCAGUGAAGUUUCAGAGAUGACUUCUAAGCUUUCUUCUACACACAUCGACAAGGCUGGCAGUAGUCCUGCUCUAAAGUUACCUCCUUUAUUUAGUCUGACUCCAAGUUCUUCUGGAAAAGGAACACAGACACAAAGACGGAAUGCACUAGCACGCCAACCUAGUCAAGAAAUUCUGCCUCAAGAGAAAACACUUGUCCUCCCUUCCACCAAAGAUCAAGGAAACGGUUCAAUGCAUGAAAAUUAUGGUUAUUUUGCUCAUGAUAUCAGACGUUCUGUUCGUGAAGCUGCUCUAUCAAAGCCAUUGAGCAACACGGAGAGUCCUCAGGACGAUAGUAGUGAUGAUGGUUCAGAGCACUUUUUCAUUCCCCUGUCAUCAGGUACUUCGAGGAAGGAUGUGGGUGCUGUGGGAAAUCGAAGAAAACAAAAAAUAGUUAUAUCAUCAUCACAGACAAAGUUACCCAAGAGCACAAGUGAUCAGUACUUCAAUUCUGACAGCCCAAUUCAUACACCUUCAGUCCUGUCAGGUAAACGGAAUGGCCAUGGUGAUUCAAGCAGUGCUGGAAACUUUUUUGAUCCAGUCAGUAGUAGUCAAUCAUUUAUGACAGAUGAUGCUCUUGAUCAAUUAUUCUCUCCACCACUUCUGUUGGAGUCUUCAUUAUUUCACGACGCAUACGAGGACUUGCUUGCACCAUUAUCAGAAACUGAUGCAGCUUUAAUGGAACAUUAGGCUUCACAUGUACACUAUGCAAUACUUUAACCACUGCCUGAAGCUUCAGCGCUUAACUGCAGCCUAGAGGCACGGAUGGUGGGCAUAUACAGGGUGAAUUCUUGGGAAUUAUUUUGCUGGUUGAGUUGCAUGCCAGUUGCCACUAGCUCGUGAGAGGAUGCCUCUGCCUCUGAAGGUGGACGAUUCUAUUUGGAGAGAGAAGGGCGUAUAGAGGUGAUAUAGAUGUCUGGGAUGGUGUGACGUACCAACUACCAGUGUGCACAGACUGUCAGGUUAUUAGCAUUUGCUGGUCUGUGGAAGUUGUUUUCUUGUUGUUGAAGGAACUCUGCUAGUACCAGAGGAUUGAAAUCAAGAGUAGCAAGGGUAGUGUACAUAUGCGCUCCUUCAAAUCUUGGGAAGUUUGUUUCCUUACUGUUUUUUUUUUGUUGUUAAGAGGUUAUUCGUGGGGAGUAUUCAUGUUGAGUUUGUUUUGUAGAAUGCAAACUUCUGGUAAUGCAAAUGCAACGUGUCGGUGACAUGGCUGCAUAACAUGCGGCCGUCCAUUCUGGUGUUCCUGUCAUUAAUAUCUUGCGGCUGACGGUCCAAUUAUGAGUCGUUUUUCAUUAAUAGUUCACCGCUGACGA